CAUCAUCUUAUCCUCAACCCAAUCGACAUCUCAUCACAUAUUCCCAUCGGUCAAAAACUCCACCACCAGUCGGCCAUUCCGCGCAAGCCGGCGGCAGCCUCUUCGUGCGUCCACACUGGUGGCGCCUCCCUCGAUCCCUCCCCCGGCAGUCCGUGUCUGCCAAGCCGGCCGAACUACUUCCCUCACUUGGCCGUCCAUGUCUGCCAAGCCGACCGGACAACUGCCAAGAACCCAUAUCGGAAGCGGCGGCGCUCCUCCUGUAGACACCACUGCGGCUGCCUUGCCACGACCCCAACCACCGCAUGCCUCCAAAGACCGUGCAGAGGCAUCAUUCUGAUAAACACAUGGCAGCUAAGUUGGGGAUUUUCCCCAUUGCCGUUGUUUUUCAUUCAAUUCAUAUAAUCCCUGUAUUCCUCUCCCCUGGAGCAUCCAGAUCCCUUUAUUUAUUUUUAUUUGGGAUAGACUCACGCACCUUCCUCUCUUUGGCAGCAGGUGGCAUGCUGCUGGCAAUCCGGAAUUGUUUAUAUUUCUUAUAUCCAACGAGGUACGCGGUCCAGUCCACACGAAACUGCACUGCCGACAACCUUCUCUACUCUUGAAUCAUGAUCUCACAUACGAAUCAUUGGCAAAGAUUUUCUCUACUCUUGAUCGUGGCUAAUCUUUAUCAUCACAAAGCUUUGGUCACUUUCAGGGUUGCUGCUUGAAAUUCUCAUGCUUGCAAUUUGUUCUAAAUUCCAAAUGCAUAGUUCACCAAUCAUCCCUUGGUUAUAUUCUAAUAUACUAGGAUAUAGUUAAAGGCCCGUCACCGUUGAAAGAAUAUAUAAGAAGUGGGUGACUUAAAUAUGGAUGCUAUAAAAGCUAAUCAUAUAUAAGUGUGUUUCAGGCAACUUAGAUUACAUGCCAAUUUUUUUUUUCAUUUGAGAUCUCAAGUACAUGUUAAAAUUUAUAUAGCAACGAUUCAUCCUCUAAUAACUUUUAAACUAUGGUAAGGUAUCAAUUGCAUCCAAGUAUACCUGGCCAAACCUCGGGCCAGGCCGGGCUUCGGGCCGGGCCUAGCCAAGCCCGACACAAAAAACCCAGGCCCGGGCCCGGCCCGGCCCGGCCAUCGGGCCUGUGUUUCUGGGCCCGAGCCCGGCCUGAACACCUAAAAGCCCGUCGGGCUUCGGGCCGGCCCGGCCCGACCUUCAGUAAACUGCAAAAAUGACGGGCCCGGGCCCGGCCCGGCCCGGCCUUCGGGCUCAAAAACUAGGCCCGAGCCCGGCCCGGGGGUAGCGUCGGGCCGGGUCAGGCCGGGCCGGCCGGGCCGGGCUUCCCAUGGCCAGGUAUACAUCCAAGUAAUGUAAGUGAGUACUUACGUGAUUGUGAGAGUCUUGUAAACAGAAUUGAAACAUCAAAUUUCUGCAAACAGAAAAGGAUGGAUAGUUCAAAAGUAGUCAAGUGAAAUAAAAUCCACAAGGUAUGUGCUUAAUCACACUAAAACAUACAGUAAGGAGGAACCACAUAAAUCAUUUAUAGCAAACUGAAUGAUAAUGUAACAAUGAAGUAGAGCUUUACUUAGAUAUUGUAUGUACACUACGAUCUGGAUGUUCUAGCAAUAACAUGGUUUACCUGUUUAUGCUUGCAGGUAUACAAUGCACUCUAGGAUUUAUUUUAUACUAUUACCUAAUCAAUAUGACCUCACAAAACACUCACGAUCGACCACCUCUCUUCCCUUGAAUCAGGAUCUUACAUACAACUGAUGGACACAUUUUUUUGAUGAAAAUGCUGUGUUUACUGCUUUUCAUAGCGAUUAGUAUGGGAUGAGAAUGCAAGCGGAACCAAAACAAAGAGAUAAUCAAAAGAAAAUAAAACAUAAAAAAGUUUAGGCUAUUCCACUUGGUCUGGCUCUCGGGGUCUUUCGAUCAGAGCAAGAACCUGGCUGCGGCCAGCCUCAAUCCACAUGUUUGUCUCGGUCAGCAGAUUGACAUAUUUUGGUCACUCCCUUUAUACCUAGGUAGUUCUGCAUAUAUUUUGGAUCUCCGACACAUGUUUUUGAUAUACCAAUGGGUCAUUACAGGUUGGGAUUGUUUUUUGUGAACUUAUAUUUUUUUCCUUUUUCUUCAGAAUAUGGUUUUCCAAUGCUAGCAGAAUUCCAUAGAUUAUAUAUAUCUUAAGAGCCCAUUACUAGCCGUUACCUCCAUGGACAAUGCUACCUGCCAAUACUAAUUCUUCACGAAUAAAUAGGGUGAACAAAAAUAUGUGCAAUCUUACCAUACAAGAUGGUUAAGAUGCCAGAUGCUCUCUCAUUUUUACCCUUACUGUUUACUUUGCUAAGCCAACUCUUCACUUUUGGUUUUUCCUAAAAGGAAUCUGGCAGAUCAUGAUGUUUAAAUUUCUACCACAAAACGUCAGGUGCUAAUUCUCUCUUCUCUUACACCGUAUUACUUUCCUUUUUUACACAAUAAUUAUCUGCUUGCUACCCUCUUAUUGUUUUCCAUCAUCUCCUCUUCUAACACUUGCACUCGAGAAUGCCUCUAAAGCCUCACAUCACUCUUCCAUCAGUUGUACCAAGAAGACACAUCAUACACAUGCACGCAAUGAGUCAUCUCAUGUAUUCUACAAAUCCAAAAUCAUGGAGAACUAUCAGAAGCAAAUUUCAGGGAGAAAACAUCAGCAACCAACUGCCCGUGAACAUCACAUUAUCACUGUUGGCUACAUCAAAAAGGGUGAAUGCCACCUCCAAGCCAUUUUCAAGAACGAGGACCCCAGCAAUUUUCAUGACACAUGGCUCAUUACUACAUAUACUAUACGAAGUGAUUGCAUUGAAUAUAAUUUCUGUACCCUAUGUACUUCUUAAAUUUUCGGUCUCAACUUAACACCCCUGUAUUUUUGCACUACUAACAUACUAUGGUUCUAUACAAAUAUCAGGGUAUUUCAUUCUUUGUUUCA